rnacentral:rRNA from 1 species
GAUGAACGCUGGCGGCGUGCCUAAUACAUGCAAGUCGAGCGAACAGACGAGAGUGCUUGCACUCUCUGACGUUAGCGGCGGACGGGUGAGUAACACGUGGGUAACCUACCUAUAAGACUGGGAUAACUUCGGGAAACCGGAGCUAAUACCGGAUAAUAUUUAGCUUCGCAUGAAGCAAUAGUGAAAGACGGUUCUGCUGUCACUUAUAGAUGGACCCGCGGUGUAUUAGCUAGUUGGUGAGGUAACGGCUCACCAAGGCAACGAUACAUAGCCGACCUGAGAGGGUGAUCGGCCACACUGGGACUGAGACACGGCCCAGACUCCUACGGGAGGCAGCAGUAGGGAAUCUUCCGCAAUGGACGAAAGUCUGACAGAGCAAUGCCGCGUGAGUGAAGAAGGUUUUCGGAUCGUAAAACUCUGUUGUAAGGGAAGAACAAGUACGUUAGUAACUGAACGUACCUUGACGGUACCUUACCAGAAAGCCACGGCUAACUACGUG